GACGAACGCUGGCGGCGUGCUUAACACAUGCAAGUCGAACGGAAAGGCCCUGCUUUUGUGGGGUGCUCGAGUGGCGAACGGGUGAGUAACACGUGAGUAACCUGCCCUUGACUUUGGGAUAACUUCAGGAAACUGGGGCUAAUACCGGAUAGGAGCUCCUGCUGCAUGGUGGGGGUUGGAAAGUUUCGGCGGUUGGGGCUGGACUCGCGGCUUAUCAGCUUGUUGGUGGGGUAGUGGCUUACCAAGGCUUUGACGGGUAGCCGGCCUGAGAGGGUGACCGGCCACCUUGGGACUGCGAUACGGCCCAGUCUCCUACGGGCGGCAGCAGUGGGGAAUAUUGCACAAUGGGCGGAAGCCUGAUGCAGCAACGCCGCGUGCGGGAUGACGGCCUUCGGGUUGUAAACCGCUUUCGCCUGUGACGAAGCGUGAGUGACGGUAAUGGGUAAAGAAGCACCGGCUAACUACGUG
rnacentral:rRNA from 1 species